CUUAUUGAUAGUCCUCAGGACACUUAGGACAAAUGUAAUUUACAAUUGAAAGCUCAGAAGCUCAGAUGGGGAAGGAAUGUUUACACAACAUUCUGCUGUAGCUAGGGUUCCAAUAGCAAAGCGGGGAAGGGGCCAUUUGCUCUCGCAGGGAAGGAGCCCUGACCCCCCCUUCUCACGACCCUCCUCUCCCAGCAAGGGUUUGCUCCCGGGUGCACUCGGGUUAUCUAGCUGACUCACUGUUGAUGUAAAAACAGGGCUGGGCAGGCUAUAUUGAAAGCCACUGAAAGCGGAGGAAACUAGUCACGAAACCCCGACUAUCAGCUGAGAGAUCGCUUCCCGGUAACCCCGGAGUACUGCUAGCACUCUUUCCAGACUGGUGCACGUCCUCGGGGUCUGCCAGGGACGCAGAGCUGUUUCAGCCCCUCUCGGCCGCGACCGCUUCCCCCAUGCUUGAGGGCGCCGAGCUGUACUUCAACGCGGACCAUGGCUACCUGGAGGGCCUGGUGCGAGGAUGCAAAGCCGGCCUCCUGACCCAGCGGGACUACAUCAACCUGGUCCAGUGUGAGACCCUGGAAGAUCUGAAAAUUCAUCUCCAGACCACUGAUUAUGGCAACUUCUUGGCUAACCAAACAAAUCCUCUUACUGUUUCCAUUAUUGACACAGAGAUGAGAAAAAAGCUAUGCAGAGAAUUUGAGUAUUUCCGGAAUCAUUCCCUGGAGCCCCUGAGCACCUUUUUCACAUACAUGACGUGCAGUUACAUGAUAGAUAAUGUGAUUCUACUGAUGAACGGUGCAUUGCAAAAAAAAUCUGUGAAAGAAAUUCUGGUGAAGUGCCACCCGUUGGGCCGUUUCACAGAAAUGGAAGCAGUCAACAUUGCAGAGACACCUUCUGAUCUCUUUAAUGCCAUUCUGGUUGAAACACCAUUAGCUCCAUUCUUUCAAGACUGUAUGUCUGAAAAUACUCUAGACGAACUGAAUAUUGAAAUACUGCGCAAUAAACUGUACAAGUCUUACAUCGAGGCAUUCUAUAAAUUCUGUAAGAAUCAUGGUGAUGUCACAGCAGAAAUUAUGUGCCCCAUUCUUGAGUUUGAGGCAGACAGACGUGCUUUUAUCAUCACUCUUAACUCCUUUGGCACCGAGUUGAGCAAAGAGGACCGCGAGACCCUCUACCCGACCUGUGGCAAGCUCUAUCCCGAGGGACUGCACCUGCUGGCCCAAGCAGAGGACUUCGAGCAAAUGAAGAGAGUAGCGGACCAUGGAGUAUGUGUUUAUCCCGGGUAUACAAGCCUUUGUUUGAGGCUGUAGGUGAUGGCAGUGGGGGAAAGACAUUGGAGGAUGUGUUUUAUGAGCGUGAGGUACAGAUGAAUGUGCUGGCAUUCAACAGGCAAUUCCACUAUGGUGUGUUUUAUGCGUAUACCAAGCUGAAGGAACAAGAAAUAAGAAAUGUCGUGUGGAUAGCCGAAUGCAUUUCACAAAGACAUCGAACUAAAAUUAACAGUUACAUUCCAAUCUUAUAACCCAGUGAGGGGCCUGAAAUGCAUAAAAUCAUAAAUGUUAAGAGGAAGUUACCGAGGGAAAUAGGAGUCGUGUUAUAUUAUCUAGAUCACACUAAGCCACACUUCACUUCAUGAAUUGCAGACCGACUGGAAACGCAGCAAGCCAACCCUGAAACAAAGCAUUUCUUUUUCUUCCAGAAGCCUUAAAUCUUGCUUCCACAUUUAUGUCUCAUUCUUCACCUUGCCUUAGACAUUAAUUUUAAUUAACCAUAUGGUACUUUUCCUAUUCUUAUUUUUGUUCUUCUAAAAAUCAAAUCUAUUAAAAGUAUUUUGCUUUCCCAUGAUUCUCCACAGGCCCAAAUACUGAGUGUCUGCUUUAUUUUUUAACUGUCCAUCCCUUCCCUAGGUCCACAAAAAUCCAGAGCUGUACAUAGCCAACAUGGACCACAUAUGGUGGAAAAUACCAUAUUUUUUUCUAAUACACUUCGAUCUGGUAGGCUUGGGAAAGCUACAUAAUUCCAAAUCAUAUUCCAUAGAUGCAGGUAGUGUUAAAUUUGUUAUUAAGGCUACCACUUAUAACUAAUUUUCUCACAACUUUCUUUAAAUAAAAGGUAUACCUCUCUUUCUU